AGAUGAAUGCAUUUCAGUAAUUUGGCCAUACGCAAAUAGAUACCUUACAAGUAACCAUGGAUCAUCUUCCUGAUGCAUAUGAAUUUCCAUCUUCCUCUUGAAUGAGGAAUGAAGGCGAGGAUCGUUUUGGGGAAGGUUUAUGAUUACGUUCGGUAAUUGCAUUUCCUUCGUCGUUGUCGGAUCCUCCGCAGCUUCGAAAGCUUACAUAGCAUGAACGAUUAUUGCUGUGGCUGCAAGAAGAGGAAUGGAGACAUUAAAACCAACUUUGCAGCGGGUUUAUAUGACUAGAGCUUCUGCAUAUAGAGAAGCAAUUUUAUAGAUGGGUAUCAAGAAGGUAUUCAGCAACUCAUGGAGAAGAAGAAAGUUUCUGAUUCUCAAUCGGGAAGCGAUAAAAUCAAAUAUAAAUUUCUGAUCCUAUAUAUGCUUCAUGUUUAGAGGAUUUGGCAGUUCAGUUUGCAGUUGUAAAAAUUGUUUGAGUUGAGAUUUUUAGUUUUAUCUCCGGAGGUGCUAUUUGAUAUAUGUACAGUUUUGAGAAUCUCAUAAUAUAAACUACAAAUACACAGUCAUUAGAAGGAUGGCAAUUGUCAGUUAUUUUAAUUUGUAAGGUCUGGUUUACAAUUGAUCUCAAGUUGGAUAAGUUUUCCUCAACGCUUCAGGUGUGAAUUGUACAUUGCAGCCGGCCACUUCAUUCACAUUAAGACCACUCAAGCUUUUUAAUCAUGUCAUGAGGUAUCUGCAUGGUGGAUUGAAUGUCCGAUACAACCAUAACUCUAUGAUUUGACAAGAAAGCGUUGGACCCUGAUUUUGCAAAUUGAGAAAGAAAUGUAGUGGCAUAGUUAGGUCGUAAGAUGCUGUGAAGAUGCUCAAGUACACUUUAUUGUGGUUAAAGGGAAGGCUGAAAAUGACUGGCGUACAGGGAUUGAAGGGCCCAUUUAGAAUAGCGUCGAGCUUCCAAUGUUCGAGCUACCAUCUGACUUUUCCAGCAGAGCCGGAAUUGUUGAAAACUAAUGAGUGUAUAAUUUGAAGAGUUUGUUCAAGUACUAUGAUAGAUGCUGAUAAAGAAUCGAGCGACUCUUAUCUUUAUCAACUAAUGAUUGUUUGGCGUCGAGUUUCACAGAAACUUAUGCAGGCAUUGAAACCAAUUACCGUCGGCUUGCACACAUAUCUGGGGACCCCCCACUUCCAAAGCCACUGAUGAAGAUUGGAAAAUCAUCAACCAGGGAGGUCAAUGGUUAUCUCUCUUGUCUGCACAUUUAUGGGCCCCGCAGGCAAGAUUUCCUAACUCACCUUUUCAUCAUUCCCACAGAAAAGGCAUGUUCAUCAAACAAAGUUCAAUUUGUAGGAAUUGAAUACAGGAAUAGGGAUGGCAUGAAAUUAACAACCUCUUGAGCAGCAGUUCAGAUCAGGCGGAUUCGCAGAAAAAAAUGGUUGAAAGAACACGACAAUUGAGAGGCAAAUCUUAAUAUAAAUGAGGUACAUUUCUAAAUUAAUUCACAGAUUUUUGUUGCCAAAAGAGGAGACCAUUCCAUUUAAUAAAUGCAACAAUAACCCAUGGCACUCCCUUUUUUUCUUUUUUCUUUUUUCUUUUUUUGUUCUCUUCCUUUCCUAUCUCACUUUGACUCUAAUCUGUCUGAUUAGAUGAAACAAAUUCAAAGG